rnacentral:misc_RNA from 1 species
AACUGAUACUACCUGCGGGAACCUGCGGAGGGAUCAUUACCGAGUUAGGGUAGUCACUCACUGCCCGACCUCCCAACCCUGUGUCUACCACACUUUGUCGUUGCUUCGGCGGACCGGUUGACCAACUGGUCGUGACCGCCGGGGGCUGGCUCUGUCCCCCCUGGAGAGCGUCCGUCGAUGGCCCAACCACAAAACUCUUGUACCGAGACGUGUCGUCUGAAUUAUAUUUGAGAAAUCAAA